CGGUAAUUCCAGCUCCAAUAGCGUAUAUUAAAGUUGUUGCGGUAAAAAAGCUCGUAGUUGGAUUUCUGCAAAAAAWCGGCCGGUCACCUCUAUGAGGUUGUAUCUGGUUCGGUUUUUGCAUCCUCUUAGGAAACGGUACUGCGCUUCACUGCGCGGGUCGGGGCCUAAGACUUUCACUUUGAGGAAAUUAGAGUGUUCACGGCAGGCAAUCGCCUUGAAUAUGUUAGCAUGGAAUGAUAUUAUAGGAUCUUGGUCCUAUUUUGUUGGUUUCUAGGGCUAAGGUAAUAAUUAAUAGGGACAAUUGGGGGUAUCCGUAUCAUCGCGUCAGAGGUGGAAUUCUUGGAUUGCGAUGCGACGAACUACUGCGAAAGCAUUUACCAAGGAUGUUUUCAUUGAUCAAGAACGAAAGUAAGGGGAUCGAAGAUGAUUAGAUACCGUCGUAGUCUUUACCAUAAACUAUGUCAACUAGGGAUUGGUGGUCGUUCUUUUAUGACUCCAUCAGCACCUUAUGAGAUAUCAAAGUUUUUGGAUUCCGGGGGGAGUAUGGUCGCAAGGCUGAAACUUAAAGGAAUUGACGGAAGGGCACCACCAGGAGUGGAGCCUGCGGCUUAAUUUGACUCAACACGGGAAAACUCACCAGGUCCAGACAUAGUAAGGAUUGACGGAUUGAUAGCUCUUUCUUGAUUCUAUGGGUGGUGGUGCAUGGCCGUUCUUAGUUGGUGGAGUGAUUUGUCUGCUUAAUUGCGUUAACGAACGAGACCUCAGCCUGCUAAAUAGACCGUCCUAUCUUCGGAUAAGUCGCUGUCUUCUUAGAGGGACUGUACCCGCUUUAGGGUAUGGAAGUUUGAGUCUAAAACAGGUCUGUAAUGCCCUUAGAUGUUCUGGGCUGCACGCGCGCUACACUGAUGCGUUCAACGAGUGUAUAACCUUACCAGACAUGGUUGGGUAAUCUUCUGAAAACGCAUCGUGAUGGGGAUAGAUUAUUGCAAUUAUUAAUCUUCAACGAGGAAUUCCUAGUAAGCUUCAGUUAUCAGCUGAAACUGAUUACGUCCCUGCCCUUUGUACACACCGCCCGUCGCUUCUACCGAUUGAAUGAUUCGGUGAAUACUUAGGACCGUCGUUUUACAGAGUUCGCUCCGUUUUACGAUGRAAAAUUGGGUAAACCUCAUCAUUUAGAGGAAGAAGAAGUCGUAACAAGG
rnacentral:rRNA from 1 species